rnacentral:rRNA from 1 species
UACGAAGGGUGCAAGCGUUACUCGGAAUUACUGGGCGUAAAGCGUGCGCAGGCGGUGAUGUAAGACAGUUGUGAAAUCCCCGGGCUCAACCUGGGAACUGCAUCUGUGACUGCAUCGCUGGAGUGCGGCAGAGGGGGAUGGAAUUCCGCGUGUAGCAGUGAAAUGCGUAGAUAUGUGGAGGAACACCGAUGGCGAAGGCAGCCCCCUGGGCUAACACUGACGCUCAUGCACGAAAGCGUGGGGAGCAAACAGG